rnacentral:lncRNA from 1 species
GCUCCUGAGAGCCUGGUUUUUAUUUAUUUAUUUUCCCCAGGUUUUUUUGAGAUAUAACUGAAAAAUAAUAUUUAUUAAAGUUAUUUAAGUUAUACAGCAUGGUGUUUUGGUUUACAGUAUAAAGUUAUUACCACAAUAAAACUAGCCUAUCAGUCACCUCUCAUAGUUCCUUUUGUGUGUGUGUGGGGAGGGUGUGUGUGAUGAGGAUACCUAGGAUCUCCCCACUCUUUUAGCAGAUUUCAAGUACAUAAGACAUUGUUAUAAACUAUAAUCACCAUGCCAUACACCAGGCCACCAGAGCUUAUUCAUCUUAUAACUGAAGAUUUAUAUCCUUUGGCCAAUACCUCUCUGUUUUCUCAUACACAACCCCUGGCAACCAAUUCUAUUUUCAGUUUCUGUGAGUUUAAUUUUCUUAGGUUCCACAUAUAAGUGAGACCUUGCUGUGUUUGUCUUUCUGUGCUGGCCUUAUUUCACUUAAGGUAAAUGUCUUCUGGGUUUGUCCAUGUUGUCACACGACAGGAUUUCCUUCCUUUUAAAGAUUGGGUUAUAUUUUAUUGUGUCUGUAUAUC